rnacentral:rRNA from 1 species
GACGUAGGGCGCAAGCGUUGUCCGGAUUUAUUGGGCGUAAAGAGCUCGUAGGCGGCUUGUCGCGUCGACUGUGAAAUCCCGCGGCUCAACCGCGGGUCUGCAGUCGAUACGGGCAGGCUAGAGUUCGGUAGGGGAGACUGGAAUUCCUGGUGUAGCGGUGAAAUGCGUAGAUAUCCGGAGGAACACCGGUGGCGAAGGCGGCUUCCUGGACCGACACUGACGCUGAGGCGCGAAAGCUAGGGGAGCAAACGGGG